CUACGGGGGGCAGCAGUGAGGAAUAUUGCACAAUGGGGGGAACCCUGAUGCAGCAACGCCGCGUGGAGGAUGACGCAUUUCGGUGUGUAAACUCCUUUUAUAUGUCAAGAAAAUGACGGUAGCAUAUGAAUAAGCACCGGCUAACUCCGUGCCAGCAGCCGCGGUAAUACGGAGGGUGUAAGCGUUACUCGGAAUCACUGGGCGUAAAGGACGCGUAGGCGGGUUGGAAAGUCAGGUGUGAAAUCCUACAGCUUAACUGUAGAACUGCACUUGAAACUUCUAAUCUAGAGUAUGGGAGGGGGAGAUGGAAUUAGUGGUGUAGGGGUAAUAUCCGUAGAUAUCACUAGGAAUACCUAAAGCGAAGGCGAUCUCCUGGAACAUUACUGACGCUAAGGCGUGAAAGCGUGGGGAGCAAACAGGAUUAGAUACCCUUGUAGUC
rnacentral:rRNA from 1 species